GCCAAUCAAAUUUGACGGUGAAGCUGCCAAACAGGAAAUAACAAGGUGUCACUCCACCCAUGGCAGCUCUGGUUUCCGGCCCUGAAUCUAUACAAUCUCCCCCAAGAGGCUCUGCCAUAACCUAGUAGGACCAGCCUGGGAACCAGACCAAUACAGUGGUUCUGCCUCUGAACUCAUGGUAACAAGGUGUCACUCCACCCAUGGCAGCUCUGGUUUCCAGCCCUGAAUCUAUACCAUCUCCCCCAAGAGGCUCUGCCAUAACCUAGUAGGACCAGCCUGGGAACCAGACCAAUACAGUGGUUCUGCCUCUGAACUCAUGGUGAGUCGCUUGGCUCAUAGUUUAUGACUCUAUCCUGGUGAUGCCCAAAUAAUGGUGACCUUUGACUUCUAGGGGGCACUGUAAUUAAUUAUGAUGUGUUUUAACUCCUCUCUCUUCACAUGAGUAGGUUUCAAACUUAUUGUCAAUGUCUGGUGAUACUGUCAGACCAAUCCAUAUGGCUAAUAAAUUAUUUCCCAUGGAAACAUCAGAAUUUAGCCACCAUGUUGAAAGUUGUCAAAAUCAAUAGUACAUAUCCAUAGGCC
ensembl:lncRNA